UUAACUCAAAUUUGUAUGGAGUUGGAAAAUUUGCCUACGUUUGCCACUAGGGGCGCUGUUCCAAGUACAUACAAAUUUGAGUUA
rfam:Bombyx mori DNA, contig: Bm_scaf90_contig34337, strain: p50T/Dazao, build 2, whole genome shotgun sequence.